rnacentral:rRNA from 1 species
GAUGAACGCUGGCGGCGUGCCUAAUACAUGCAAGUCGAGCGAACAGACGAGGAGCUUGCUCCUCUGACGUUAGCGGCGGACGGGUGAGUAACACGUGGAUAACCUACCUAUAAGACUGGGAUAACUUCGGGAAACCGGAGCUAAUACCGGAUAAUAUAUUCAACCGCAUGGUUCAAUAGUGAAAGACGGUUUUGCUGUCACUUCUAGAUGGAUCCGCUCCGCAUUAGCUAGUUGGUAAGGUAACGGCUUACCAAGGCAACGAUGCGUAGCCGACCUGAGCGGGUGAUCGGCCACACUGGAACGGAGACACGGUCCAGACUCCUGCGGGAGGCAGCAGUAUGGAAUCUUCCGCAAUGGGCGAAAGCUUGACAGAGCAACGCCGCGUGAGUGAUGAAGGUCUUCGGAUCGUAAUACUCUGUUAUUAGGGAAGAACAAAUUUGUAAGUAACUAUGCACGUCUUGACGGUACCUAAACAGAAAGCCACGGCUAACUACGUG